rnacentral:rRNA from 1 species
AACGUAGGACACAAGCGUUAUCCGGAGUUACUGGGCGUAAAGGGCGUGUAGGCGGAGAUGUAAGUCUAUUCUGAAAGCCCCCGGCUCAACUGGGGAGGGUCACGCGAUACUGAUCGACUCGAAGGCAGGAGAGGGAAGUGGAAUUCCCGGUGUAGUGGUGAAAUGCGUAGAUAUCGGGAGGAACACCAGUGGCGAAGGCGACUUCCUGGCCUGUUCUUGACGCUGAGGCGCGAAAGCUAGGGGAGCAAACGGG